CAUGAUGAACGCUAGCUACAGGCUUAACACAUGCAAGUCGAGGGGUAUCAGGAAGAAAGCUUGCUUUCUUUGCUGGCGACCGGCGCACGGGUGGGUAACACGUAUCCAACCUGCCCUUUACUCGGGGAUAGCCUUUCGAAAGAAAGAUUAAUACCCGAUAGCAUAAUGAUUCCGCAUGGUUUCAUUAUUAAAGGAUUCCGGUAAAGGAUGGGGAUGCGUUCCAUUAGGUUGUUGGUGAGGUAACGGCCCACCAAGCCUUCGAUGGAUAGGGGUUCUGAGAGGAAGGUCCCCCACAUUGGAACUGAGACACGGUCCAAACUCCUACGGGAGGCAGCAGUGAGGAAUAUUGGUCAAUGGGCGCUAGCCUGAACCAGCCAAGUAGCGUGAAGGAUGAAGGCUCUAUGGGUCGUAAACUUCUUUUAUAUAAGAAUAAAGUGCAGUAUGUAUACUGUUUUGUAUGUAUUAUAUGAAUAAGGAUCGGCUAACUCCGUGCCAGCAGCCGCGGUAAUACGGAGGAUCCGAGCGUUAUCCGGAUUUAUUGGGUUUAAAGGGAGCGUAGGUGGACUGGUAAGUCAGUUGUGAAAGUUUGCGGCUCAACCGUAAAAUUGCAGUUGAUACUGUCAGUCUUGAGUACAGUAGAGGUGGGCGGAAUUCGUGGUGUAGCGGUGAAAUGCUUAGAUAUCACGAAGAACUCCGAUUGCGAAGGCAGCUCACUGGACUGCAACUGACACUGAUGCUCGAAAGUGUGGGUAUCAAACAGGAUUAGAUACCCUGGUAGUCCACACAGUAAACGAUGAAUACUCGCUGUUUGCGAUAUACAGUAAGCGGCCAAGCGAAAGCAUUAAGUAUUCCACCUGGGGAGUACGCCGGCAACGGUGAAACUCAAAGGAAUUGACGGGGGCCCGCACAAGCGGAGGAACAUGUGGUUUAAUUCGAUGAUACGCGAGGAACCUUACCCGGGCUUAAAUUGCAGUGGAAUGAUGUGGAAACAUGUCAGUGAGCAAUCACCGCUGUGAAGGUGCUGCAUGGUUGUCGUCAGCUCGUGCCGUGAGGUGUCGGCUUAAGUGCCAUAACGAGCGCAACCCUUAUCUUUAGUUACUAACAGGUUAUGCUGAGGACUCUAGAGAGACUGCCGUCGUAAGAUGUGAGGAAGGUGGGGAUGACGUCAAAUCAGCACGGCCCUUACGUCCGGGGCUACACACGUGUUACAAUGGGGGGUACAGAAGGCAGCUAGCGGGUGACCGUAUGCUAAUCCCAAAAGCCUCUCUCAGUUCGGAUCGAAGUCUGCAACCCGACUUCGUGAAGCUGGAUUCGCUAGUAAUCGCGCAUCAGCCACGGCGCGGUGAAUACGUUCCCGGGCCUUGUACACUCCGCCCGUCAAGCCAUGGGAGCCGGGGGUACAUGAAGUACGUAACCGCAAGGAUCGUCUUAGGGU
rnacentral:rRNA from 1 species